CCCCGGUAUGUAUGGCUACAGGGGAACAUAGGACCCUUUUUGGGGAAAUCGGGGAACAUAGGACCUUUUUUUUUUUUAAAAGGGUCCUAUGUUCCCCGAGCGGGGAACAUAGAACCCGGGGAACAUAGGACCCGGGGAACAUAGGGAUGACCCCAUGUGAAGUUAGCGGACAUGGCAGCUUCAGUGGUUCAACCAUAUAUGUUCUAACCUGAGUCGGAUCCUGAAGAAGGAGAGGAGGCUCCUGCAGAACCUCAGACUCCGAGAAUUCAGCAGGAUGCUUCUGGAUGGUGCACAUGUGGAAAUUGUGCCACAAUGCAGUCAGAGCCUGAGAACGUAUGCUGUCAGGAGGUGCCUCAGGUUACAAGACGGCAGGAACAGCUGGAUGAAAGGCCUCCCUGUAUGAUAGACCAUCCAGGUGUAGAAUCGGUUUGUCUAAAUGUGUUCUCGCUGCAGAACGCGUUCAACAUUUACAGAGCUGACGACGGUCCUUUGCGACUACGGGGGAUG